rnacentral:rRNA from 1 species
GAUGAACGCUGGCGGCGUGCCUAAUACAUGCAAGUCGAGCGAACAGAUGAGGAGCUUGCUCCUUUGACGUUAGCGGCGGACGGGUGAGUAACACGUGGAUAACCUACCUAUAAGACUGGGAUAACUUCGGGAAACCGGAGCUAAUACCGGAUAAUAUAUUGAACCGCAUGGUUCGAUAGUGAAAGACGGUUUUGCUGUCACUUAUAGAUGGAUCCGCGCCGCAUUAGCUAGUUGGUAAGGUAACGGCUUACCAAGGCAACGAUGCGUAGCCGACCUGAGAGGGUGAUCGGCCACACUGGAACUGAGACACGGUCCAGACUCCUACGGGAGGCAGCAGUAGGGAAUCUUCCGCAAUGGGCGAAAGCCUGACGGAGCAACGCCGCGUGAGUGAUGAAGGUCUUCGGAUCGUAAAACUCUGUUAUGAGGGAAGAACAAAUGUGUAAGUAACUAUGCACGUCUUGACGGUACCUAAUCAGAAAGCCACGGCUAACUACGUG